UACGUAGGGGGCGAGCGUUGUCCGGAUUUAUUGGGCGUAAAGAGCUCGUAGGCGGUUUGGCAAGUCGGGUGUGAAAACUCCGGGCUCAACUCGGAGACGCCACUCGAUACUGCCAUGACUUGAGUCCGGUAGGGGAGUGCGGAAUUCCUGGUGUAGCGGUGAAAUGCGCAGAUAUCAGGAGGAACACCGGUGGCGAAGGCGGCAUCCUGGACCAACACUGACACUGAGGAGCGAAAGCCAGGGGAGCAAACGGG
rnacentral:rRNA from 1 species